UAUCCUUUUUCUCUUAGAAACCUUCUCUUAGAGAAACCCUAGCACCUCCACAUUUCUCUUCUCCCAUCACUCACUACAGUUUCUCACCGCCACCGAUACUCCACCACGAGUCCGCCUCCAUUGUUCUACUUUCGUUUUCAAGGAUUGGUGUUUAAGUUUUUGGACCAAAUGAAAAGCAGAGUGAAGUGAGAGUUAAAGUGAAUAUUGCUGAAGAGUUGACUCCCCUACAUUUUCAGAUGGUGUUUGUUGAAAUGUGUUUGUAGAUGGUGUGCCCAAAGAAGGAUUGUGAAUACAAGAUGUAUUUGUUAGAAUUACGGUUCUGCUAUUGACAAGGGAAAGAUGGGGAGUGGAGCCUGAGCUUUUAAUGGCUUUUCAUGUUUUGAAGCAAGACAAGACAAAGGCUUUAGAGAUAUUAGUGAGUGAUUUAAAAGUGUGCCCCACCUUCAAUGAGGAGCUAUACAAAGAAAUCACCCAGAUGUUAAUUCUUAAUAAUUUCAGGAAAAUGGUUCAAGUAUAUGGGGCAAUGUGGAGCUAGUGGGGAUACAAUUGCAAGUCCUGGCAAUGUUAUGGGAAUAGCAGUCUUAGCAAAGGGAAUGUUAGCUGGAAAAUGUAGAUUUUGUUGGUCCAAGUUUAAUGUUUGGUUCAUUAUUGAAUUUGAAAAUUUUAUGAUGUAAUAACUUUACCAAGUUUUAUGAAAAAGUUGGAAAUUUUUAUUGGGCCUUUAAA